CUGUUUAAGGGAUUAAACCUGAUGAACCUAAAUUUCUGAAUGGAGAAAUUCAGCAUCUUUUUGUAGUAAUUAUAAAAUGGUGUGCACUUUUCUCCUAGUAAGACGAUGCGAUCCAUUAGGAACAUUUCGGUGUGUUCUGUAUAUAGGAAUGGUGUAGGAGUUUGUUCUUUUUGUGAGUACCAUGGAUUUGUUUUUAUGGGAAAACGUUCAAACUAUGCCGUUUCUUACAGAUACCUGAUGGUUAAAAAAUGCUUCAUUUGAUGCUACGGCAUCUGUAUGUCUUGUACAAUACAAUGAAUGCAUGAUCAGCAUCGUUUUAGAUUUGGGAUACCAUCAGGACCCGUCUUGAAA
rnacentral:rRNA from 1 species